AAAAAGCUUAGGACAAAUAAAAAUAUUUAUAUUAAAUAUUUAACUUUCUCACAAAAUUUAAUAAUUAUAAUAAUUUUAUUAGUUGAUCAAUUUUCAUAAUUAAUUUAAAUUUAUUUAUAAAUUAAUAAAAUACAAUUACACUCCAACUUUUAUGUGAUUAAAUUUUUUAAUAGCAAAUCAUCUUAUUAUUUGAUCAACUUUUCUAACUAAUUAAAAUUCUUUUAAUU
rnacentral:lncRNA from 1 species